UAGCAUAAUCAUUAGUUUUUUAAUUGAGAACUGGAAUGAAAGGUUUAAUAAAAAAUAAUCUUUAUUAAUUUUAAAAUUUUUGAAUUUAUUUUUUUAGUAAAAAAACUAAAAUAAUUUAAAAAGACGAUAAGACCCUAUAAAGCUUUAUAAAUUUUUAUUUAACAAUAAAUUAGAAUAAUAAAGUUUUUUUUUAUAUGUUUAUUUAAUUGGGGUGAUUUAAAGAUUUAAAAAACUCUUUAAUAAAAAAAUUUUCAUAAUUAAGUGUUUUUUGAUCCUUUAUAUUUAAGAAUAAUAAAAUAAGUUACUUUAGGGAUAACAGCGUAAUUUUUUUGAAGAGUUCUAAUCGAUAAAAAAGAUUGCGACCCCGAUGUUGAAUUAAGAUAAAAAUUAGGUGUAGAAGUUUAAUUUUC
rnacentral:rRNA from 1 species